GCGCCGCCGGGGGUGUGUGCGCGGCCCCGGCCGAAAGAGCUGGUGCUGUAAUGUAGGACAGCGAUGUCCGUGCGGUAGGACUGGGAACCCAGGUGUCACAAACCCUAGGAACGGCUAAAGGGCUUCAUCAAAAGAAAAAAGUCGGGAAAUUGCUAGCUAGGGAGCUGUUUAAGUGCUCUGCGUGGCUCUUCGAGCGUUCCUUGGCCCCGUGCAAGUAGAUCCAGGCUGGCGGAGGUCGUGGAGCUGCUGACUGGUACAGGCGCCUUCAUGAGUUUGAACAGCAGUGCCAUAAGGAGUGUGCCUGCACGCAGGUUUGCUGGAAGCAGAUGUCAACCUUCUAGUGCAGUUGUGGUGGCUGUAAAACCUGUAAUUUGGGGAAAACAUAGCUAAAGAAACUGUGUAAAGUUCAGUGGAUAAAACAGAAGAGGAAACACCAA